AAAGAUGUGUAUCCCUCAUUCCUCCUGGGAUUGUGGGACUCAGCCUCAUGUUCUGUCAUGGAGAGGGAUGUCUUGAGGGUGAGUGUGCUGCUCUUUAGCAGGUAGACACCAGAGCCUGCCCUAUGGGGAGGUGACCCAGAGCCAUCUCCCUCACUGCCCCAGGCCCUGUUGGAUUUCCCCCCUCCCCCCACCAGCUGGCCUUCCUCAUGUUCUGAACCCAGGCAUCAGUCAUUGUGUUGCCCCCAGGUGCUGCAGUCUGGACCUGGCAGAGGUGGACUGCUGAUACUGAUAAAAGAAAUAUUUGACAAUAAGGUCCAUAUUCUCCUCUGGAACUAGCUGUGUGCAUCAAAAUAGUGGGUUGCUAUCCUCCUGUCCACAACCAAUCUGAGGAUUCCAGAAGGACUCGUGGAUUGCGGGGUCCCACGACAUCACCUCAUAGAUGCAGUCGAUGGUUUGUUCCAGAUUCAGGCUUGUUUCCGGGAAGAAACCCUGACAGAAGUUCAGAAGAACGGGAGCUGCAUUCCGUUAGGACGUGAAUACAUGAAAUGCUCCUCUCACGACCUUCUAGAAGAAUGAGCUGGGACCCAGUUUCUGAGUCCUGCUGGAACCAGAGACCGAGUCUAUGCAAAUCAGAAUCAACCUCCAUCCACCUCCAUCUGUUAUGAGACCUAGAAUGUGGUGCAGCUCCCAUGGAGAAUAUCAGUUGUGUCUCUACCAAGGAUGCAGAGAAAGACAAGGUAAAUUCUGUUGCCCGUUUCAGUU